rnacentral:lncRNA from 1 species
CGGCAAGACCCUCCGACGCUCAAGUCAGUUCUCUGCCUCAACAAGAAUGGAGUGCUCGAACAGAGAAUUUAGCAGAGUUUUGAGAUAAGAAAAUGAGCUUAGAGAAUAACGUAUCUGGGUCCCCCCUUUUAUAGGCGGAGGAGGCAAUAGAUUGAUGGCGACGUUUGUAACCGUCUGGUAGUGGGCCGCCCAUGGUCAGGGGAAUUGAUUGCAAAGGAUCGUGGAGUAGACGCGUGGCCAUCACCGUGGCUCGCCACGUGGAAUCUGUUACAAGGGGUGGAGCAGCGUCCGUUGUCGUGACUCGCCAGCGGAUGGG